UGGCGGACGGGUGAGUAACACGUGGGUAACCUGCCCUUAAGUGGGGGAUAACAUUUGGAAACAGAUGCUAAUACCGCAUAGAUCCAAGAACCGCAUGGUUCUUGGCUGAAAGAUGGCGUAAGCUAUCGCUUUUGGAUGGACCCGCGGCGUAUUAGCUAGUUGGUGAGGUAAUGGCUCACCAAGGCGAUGAUACGUAGCCAAACUGAGAGGUUGAUCGGCCACAUUGGGACUGAGACACGGCCCAAACUCCUACGGGAGGCAGCAGUAGGGAAUCUUCCACAAUGGACGCAAGUCUGAUGGAGCAACGCCGCGUGAGUGAAGAAGGCUUUCGGGUCGUAAAACUCUGUUGUUGGAGAAGAAUGGUCGGCAGAGUAACUGUUGCCGGCGUGGCGGUAUCCAACCAGAAAGCCACGGCUAACUACGUGCCAGCAGCCGCGGUAAUACGUAGGUGGCAAGCGUUAUCCGGAUUUAUUGGGCGUAAAGCGAGUGCAGGCGGUUUUUUAAGUCUGAUGUGAAAGCCCUCGGCUUAACCGAGGAAGCACAUCGGAAACUGGGAAACUUGAGUGCAGAAGAGGACAGUGGAACUCCAUGUGUAGCGGUGAAAUGCGUAGAUAUAUGGAAGAACACCAGUGGCGAAGGCGGCUGUCUGGUCUGUAACUGACGCUGAGGCUCGAAAGCAUGGGUAGCGAACAGGAUUAGAUACCCUGGUAGUCCAUGCCGUAAACGAUGAAUGCUAGGUGUUGGAGGGUUUCCGCCCUUCAGUGCCGCAGCUAACGCAUUAAGCAUU
rnacentral:rRNA from 1 species